ensembl:lncRNA
UAGAGAACCUCGGUUAUGUAAUUAUUACCCCGGUAUGUCUGUUUUUCGAGAAGGCGAUUCCGACGCGAUUCGUUUUACCGAACUGCAAGUCAUUAUUUUUUUUCCCGCAUUCACAAUUGACCAUUAUGACGGAAGCCUGGAGGCUCUUCUAGGUGUGAAGAUAUUUAAUAUGUCUAGGGACAUCCUAAUAUUGGCCUAAUGGCCUUCAGUUCGGAGAAAGUCCAAAUAAUAAUGCAUAUCAAUAAGAACCGCAAAGUGUAACCUACGCAGAUAUUUAAUUAACUGACAUUUGUCAAUGUAUCAAUUCAUUGACACGAUAUCGUCCACCUCAUCUUUUAAAAGAGAAGAAUGGCACUAGGAAGGUUGAUAUAUUACAGAACAGAUCGUUCAUCUAUAGGCUAUGUGCAUAGCACUUUGUUUUAAGCAUCAAUUUGUUCUUAACCAAACUGAGUGCAGCACCUGUUCAACUGUAAUAUCCCUCAACACGGGGAUGACGAUUUGCACGGGAUAAGUAUUAUCAGAGGACCUUGGAGUUUGUCGGGAAAAAAUAGUUUUUUAGGGCUGAGAUAAUAACCUUCCGGCCAAGUAAAAAUUACUGACUUGGCAGAUUCAGACGGUACUAAAAUGACAAAUGCGGUGAUUUAUGCUCGUGCAAAUAAUUAUAUUACCUGAGCUCCCCCAGUAAAACUCUUCCAGUUAACACUAUUAAUGUUUGCCUUUACUGUGGGAAUUGUGGUCGAAUCAAUGCAAAAUUAGCCACUUUCAAUGCAACAUACCUGAAAACAAAACAAGCUAUGCAAGUUAUUUUGUUGUAGGCAGAACGCAUCGGAAUAUGAUUCUAUUGCAUCUAUAUAAAAAAAAAAAGCGGUGUGGCAGAACCAAUCAGAGCUGCAUUAGGCCUAUAUGCAAAUAGACCAUUGCCAUAUAUGGAUCUGUGCCAUUUUCUUUGAACUGGACUGUGUAAACAGCAUGAUAGGUCAUGAGUAAAUGCGCUUGUUUUGAGAUCAAAGCGAGAGCUGCAUAUUUGUUCAUAUCCUUUGCUAGUUAGUGAGUUAUUAGACCAGUUAUAGAUCAUUUGUAGUCAGCAAUGGGCACAACACGUGCAUUUCUAGACAUCUUUGAAAAGGGAGUCAGGUAAAGAGCUUUUUUUUUGUCUUGAAGGGGUGGUGUUGUAUUUUGAGACUGUCUUGAAUAAGCUACAUUUUCACUAUUCAAGUUUGAGCUCAGCAGACUUGAAAUUUCCUCAGUGCCGGGAACACUAAGGGAACGUUGCAUUUAUGCCUAAGGCUGAGACAAUAAGAAGACACAGUGGCAGAAUAAAUUCAACCACACCUUUGUUUCAUUACAAAACUGGAGAGAAACAUCUGUCCGGUGGAGUCCACAAAGCAUAUUGCAUGUAACAAACAGUUACAUGACCUACAUAAUGGUCAAUCAAGUUAAUGUUGCCGACACGUAACACUUUUUUGGUUACUACAUGAUACUAUAUAUGUUAUUUGUAGUUUUGAUGUCUUCACUUCUAUUCUACAAUGUAGAAAAUAGUAUUUUUUUUAAGUAAAAAAAAACCUUGAAUGAGUAGGUGUGUCCAAACGUUUGACUGGUAUUGUAUGUGAUAAGCAAAAUUGACACAGUUACAAUAGACAUCCACCAUAUUGGUGUUACCUGCAUUUUGUUAGCUCACAAUAAACACAACAGUUCAAUGCUGAGUAAAGAAGGUUAGUACUGUACAGGGAUGGUGAAAAGUAUUUAAACCAUCCUGCAGAAGUAAUUAGCAACCAGAAGGGGGCUCUCUUGCGUCACACUAGUGGUUGCCAAACACUUCCAUGCUGUGGUUACGCACCUAAAGCCUUUGAAUAUAUCUUUCUGCGGCUUACUAACUAAACAAAAGCAAUGUUGUUCAGCACAAAUACAACAUUAUCACUCUACUCCACCAACAGGUUAGUGCAGUGUUCCUUCAUCCUGAUCCUGGGGAAUCAAAGGGGGCGGGGAGGAAGAGAGCCAGUGUGAAGCAGCAGAGUCUCAGCAGCAACCUCUUCAUCCUGGAAAGAGCGGACCAAUCAGGACAGCCAUAUUUCAGUCCCGCCCCUCAGGUCCAGGAAGUAUGUCAGGAGGUGGAUGAGUUCAUCUAUGUGGCCAAUGCAGAGACGGGAAGAGGUAACACCAAGACUCCAACACAUUCCUCAUACUUGCUCCUAUUCCUAGGCCCUUGUUGCCAGCCAGAUAAUCUUGUCAAGCUAUCGCAACAUCAGGCUGGUUCCACCAGGCUACCUUCCAGGACCAGAUCCAGGGAAAGAUCAGGCUCGUUCCACCAGGCUACCUUCCAGGACCAAAUCCAGUGAAAGGUGGUGAGGGGGACAGAUCCAGGCAUUGGUGGACCCUGCCUAGUGUUCAUCCUCCAGAACCCUCCUUGUCCUGACUUUUGUGUCCAGAGAGGAACCAGACUCAAUCAGAACCACUAGUCCCAGUACUGCUAGAUUAAAGACCAGGACCCCCAGUGUGGAUAUUGCACAGAGGCUCUGCCUGUGCCUGCUGCCCAACCCCUGGAUUGUCUGUCUGUCUGUGUAGUGUCUGUCUGUCUGUGUAGUGUCUGUCUGUUUAUGUAGUUUAUGUAGUGUCUGUCUGUCUGUGUAGUUUAUGUAGUGUCUGUCUGUGUAGUGUCUGUCUGUGUAGUGUCUGUCUGUCUAUGUAGUGUCUGUCUGUCUGUCUAUGUAGUAUCUGUCUGUGUAGUGUCUGUCUGUCCUGUCUGUCUAUGGUCUAUGUAGUCUGUCUGUCUGCUAGGGUGCUCUGGUCUCAGGCUGUAGCUAUCUGUCUAAGGAACUACCUUCAGCACAAAUGCUUCUGAAGGAAUGUUCUACCUCUGAUGUGCCUUGUUUAAAUGAAUCGCAAAAUAAAAAGUCAUUAUUGGGUAAAUAUUAUUUAAUAACCCUGUAGUAAUUUUUUUGUGAAUAAGUAGUGGGUUGUGAAACAAAACAGAAGUGAAGAGAACUACUGUUUAACUGUAGCUACGGUACUUUAGUGAAGAUAAUGAAGGGUUUUGGUUAUCACAUUAUUUUCUUCUACUACUGCGUAGUUUAGAAGCAUUUAGAAUCAUGUUGAUGUGACAAGGAAUUAUGGGUAAAAAAAAAGAUAUACCUUUAUUUCAGCAAAUCAUGCCAUUUUCUUUAAUUUCUUUCAUAUAAGUUAUAAUUUUUUAUACUCCAAAGUAUUAUGCUUUUAUUUUCUUUCAUUGUUUAAAUUCAUGUUCUAAAUUACCACUGCACAAGUUGUUAUAAAGCAACUGAAAGCCUUCGGUGGGUCACAGCACAGAAACGUUGGUGAGCUGUGCAUCUGGAACAGUGAAAGGCGUUUGCUUCGUAGUUCACAGGCCAACCCUUUCAUUUCUUCCUUAAUCUGCACCAUGAAAAACAACAAGAAAAGAGAAAAUAUGGACAGGUGAAACAUCUCUCCACUAGGCACCUGUAUUCCUUCUACUGUGUUUUCAGAUGAGCGCAGACUGGAAGGAGAGGAGACAGAGGAAGUCAUUUUAAAGUAUUGAGAUGCACCCCUCUGGCUCAGGCAAUGGUACAACAUGCUACUCCAAGUUCUCUGUGGUUAUUUUCCUCUGAGGUCAGCAUUGGCACACUAAACUGAAUUCACAUCUGUCUGAUGGGGGGAGGACAAUGUUCCUAUUUACACCACAAUGUGGCAGGCCUGCUCCUGCUUCUCAGGGCCAGGGGAAGCUGUAGAAUGUAGACUAGUUGCAGCUUGGUUUACUACAUUUUGGGCAUGGGGGUUGCGCUGUGACCCCCUGAAAACAAAUUAAAAUGAAAACUCAAACCACAAAUUUCUAAACACAAUCAAGAAUGUACUGUAGCAACCAUGUGUUUAUAAGCACCAAUAUCAACUCUGCCACAUGAGCACACUUUUGUGGCACAGCACGCUGGGCUAUGGCCGGAAGGUUGGCGGUUUGAAUACCACUACGGACAAGCUCACUUUCCCUGCUUGUUAACUGUUGAUAAAGUAUGGCGGUUGUUGUCUGAUACAAUACAUUAGAGCUGGAAUCCUUAAUAUUGCAGAAUUUGUGCUGCAGUUUUAGCAUGCUGCUCAACACUCAUCACCUUUGUUUUGUC